GGCCUUGUUGUCCAACGGCUAAGACGCCUCUUUGACGUGGAGGAAAUCUAGGUUCAAUUCCUGGCAGGGCCA
rnacentral:tRNA from 1 species